UACCUGCACUCCCUCUACAAAUAAAUAAAUAAAAUUGGAAUGAUACAGACAAGAUUAGGAUGGGCCCUGCACAAGGAUGACACGCACAUUUGUGAAAUGUUCUGUAUUUUU
rnacentral:snRNA from 14 species